GACUGCAGCCUACCAGGCUCCUCCACCUAUGGAAUUUUCCAGGCAACAGUACUGGAGUGAGUUGCCAUUGCCUUCUCCAAGGAGAUAGACCUAAUGGACUUGAAAUUAUUACUAGAUUAUGACUGUGAUCCCAAACAAUCUUCAACAAACAAAAACCUGCUUUCUGAGAUGUUUCAAUGUUUUACUCCAUCUAGAGGUAGGAGACUAAAUAGUUCCCUUCUUGAGGUUUUUCCCAGCAUUACUAUUUAAAGAUUUUAUGAUCAGAUUCCCUGUGGCCCAGCAGGACCCCUGAUAUUAUGGCCUGAACCGGUUGUAUUUAUUAUUGUGGUACAGGAUUGAACUGUAAAGUUGAUUGGAGGAGACUGCAGGGGAAAACCCCUUGGGAAUCCAGAACAUCAGAUUUGCCACACUGGCUUAGAACUGUGGCCUAUCCUGCUACAUAUAUGUCUGACAGCCAUGAAUAAAUGUCUUAUGUGUCUCCUCCAGAGGUUAGGAAUGUAUUUCAAGCAUUCGUAAUGUCCCUUAAUAACUCACAGUGGGUUUAUAAAGACGAGAGUUCCAUUGAUUCCCAAAUGCAUGGACACCGUUGUUUUAGCUUUCAUUAUUCUUGCCAAUAAUGACCAGCUUUUCUGUUUCUUUUUUUUUUUUUUUCCUUUAAUCCACCCUAACUCAUUGAUCAGGCUAAAUUAAAUUCCUCUCAGAAGUCAUGUUGCUGGCUCCAUGUCCAUCAUAUUUUAGCUACAGGCAGCAUUAUUUUGUCCUAAAUGCCUUAGUUUGCACUUAUCCACACUGUGGCUUAUUAAUGCCUCUGUUUUUUCAUGUGGUCUUAUGAGAACUUAUUGCUAUAUUCCGUUCAACUGAGCAUUUCAAUACCCGGAAGAACAUUUGUCAUCUUAGGUUUCACUAUGUACUUGAAAUUCCAAGUUCUUUGUAGAAAAAUGUUAAGUAGGUGGUGGUGUUACUGGAUCCCUGGAUUAUUCCACUUGUCCAUCCAGAAAAGUUCCUGUUUAUCCUUUACCUUCUGUUUCUAUUUUUAAACCAAAGCUUUAAGACAUUACAUCUGCUCCAGCCUAUUCAUUCUCCAUGUGAGAAUUCAUUCUUAGCCUCUUAACUUCAUUACUUCUCACUUUCAUCCCUAGUAAAAAAUUAGUAGUCUCCACCUUACAGGAGUUUUAUGGAGCGCGGGGAGAAUAAGAUGCUUAAGGGUUGUCUUCAAGAAAGCUCCUACUUUUAAAGUGAUUUUGUAAAAGCCCCUUGGUUUAGAAAUGAGAAACUCUAUAGCUAUUAUUUUUUCCUAUCCUUGUUUUGCUAUUUAUAUGUCUGAAAAGUGAUCUCUGUCUGAAUAGAGUCUGUACUCCGGUUUUAACUUUCUUCUCAUUAACCCGUUUCACACUGAAAUUGUCCUCUCUACCUUGUCCACCCUGUGAACUUUUUACCUACAGAGCCAGAACUAGUUCUCCCACAAUAAAUCCCACAUCACUUACUUCCAUCAUUGAACAAAUUAAUGUCGUCCAGAAAGAGAAUCUGGCUGUGGACAUAAAUCAGAAAGUAAAUGUGGUCUCACUCUGGCCCUGGUGAGAUCUCACUAUGGUGCCUUUGUUUUCCCUUUAUAAACUGGGGUUAAUUCUGCUGUUUCACAGCACCUGGGUAGUGUGAAUCUUGACCAAAAAAAAAAAAAGAUGAAAAGCUUUUUUUCAAAUGUCUUAUACUAUAUAUAUAUAUAAAUGCAUAGUGAAUAAUCUGGAGAGUCCUCAAGUAGAAAUGUGUUUUUGUGUAGCUCAAUUCAGAGAAGUUUUCAAAAGAAAUGUUUUACUAACCUGUUCUUUUUUUUAAGUGAAAAUUAGUUUCUAAUCAUUUGAACUGUCUCAAUUUUUCAGUAUGGGAAGAGAUUAAUAGUAUACAGAAAAUACCCAAGUUAUAUUUUAACUGUUAAAACUGAAGGGGUUGCAUAAUAAUAUAGUGAGGUAAGGAGGAGGAUUCUAGCUCAAAUGUAUCAAGAUAUAGAAAUACAGAGAUUAGCUUUGGUUUUGAAAUUGUAUUAUAAAUAGUAGAUGUUAAUGUGGUUGUUUAUAGAUACUCUUUAUUUUUAAGUUACCAGAAAUUGUCUUUUAUUUUUGCAGUUUUG
rnacentral:lncRNA from 1 species